rnacentral:hammerhead_ribozyme from 1 species
AUCCAGCUGAUGAGUCCUAAAUAGAACGAGACGCGCCCCCUGGAU